AUACACAGAAGAAAAAAAAAAGCAUUUAUAAAUUAUCAGUAUGGCAAAAUGGAAAACUGUAUUGACGCUUAAAGGAGAAAAAAAAAAAAAUACAACCUUAUGAUAUCAGUUCCUAAAGGGUCAGAGCUACUUUACAACAUAUUUUAGUAGUGUAACGAAGGUUAUUUGGUGUUUGGCACAUGCUGUAACAAACAACACACAAAAAAAGGUUAGUAUUACACACAUAGUAACCACCAUUUCGUGGUGACUUCCCUUUACUGGAGACAUUAAACCGUUAAUUAUUAUUUCCGCACACCAACCAGCGUUGGUGUUUUAAUGAUGGAUCAUGUGAACUCAUUUCAAAUUCAAACCUAAAAAAAUCAUGUCUCGAGAAGGCUUUAGAAGUCAUAUAAAGAGAAUUUAAAACCGUGAAAAUGAAUCACUUGAACAAGCUACGUAGUAGAGGCACACACAGAAGGAAUGGGGUUCAAAAAAGGCAUCAAAAAUACAGCAUGCUUUGAAAAGUGCUGAUGAAUUAUAACAUUAGGAUUAUUAAAUAAUUGGGGG